AGUCAAUGUUGCUCUAAGUACUGUGUAGUUGUAGGAUUGAUGAAUCAACUUUGCAUGAGUAAAUAUGAUCCUAAUGAACCAGAAGUAGGAAACUCACCCUAUUCUCUAACACCGAGAUCACAGAAGCCGAAAGUUAAAUGUCGAUCAACUGGAUACUUUUGUUCCGCUCACAAUGAAUGUUGUUCCCAACAAUGCGUAUCCAUAGGAUAUCAUUCUAUCAAAGCUUGUUUUAACUCAACGAUGAUUGUUGACACUCCAGUAAAAAAUUCAUUUAAUUCUACAAUAACUAUAUUAAACAGUACUCUAGAUUAUUGUACGCCAAACAAUCAUGAUUGCCAUGAUUUUAGCCGAUGUUGUGUAAAGAUUUGUGCUCCUAUAGGGUUUACUGGAAUUGACUUAUGCAUUUAUCUUCCAAAAAAUAAAACAUGGACAAUAGACCCUCCAUCUUCUUCUUCCGUGACAACCAAAUCGAAUCAAAAUUCAGAUUA